rnacentral:rRNA from 1 species
UACGAGUACCCCAAGCGUUAUCCGGAAUCAUUGGGCGUAAAGGGUGUGUAGGCGGUUUGGUUAGUCUUCUGUUAAAACCUCGGGCUCAACCCGAGACUUGCAGUGGAAACGGCCAGACUGGAGGGUGCGAGAGGUGAAUGGAACUCAUGGAGUAGGGGUGAAAUCCGUUGAUAUCAUGGGGAACACCAAAGGCGAAGGCAAUUCGACUGGCGCAUUUCUGACGCUGAAACACGAAAGCGUGGGUAGCGAACGGG